GCCUGGGUGGCUCAAUCAUUUAAGCGUCUGACUUCAACUCAGGUCAUGAUCUUGUCUUUGUGAGUUCAAGCCCCACAUCGGGCU
rnacentral:tRNA from 1 species